rnacentral:rRNA from 1 species
UACGUAGGAAGCGAGCGUUGUCCGGAUUUACUGGGCGUAAAGAGCGUGUAGGCGGCUCGGUAAGUCCGCUGUGAAAGUCCAGGGCUCAACCCUGGAAUGCCGGUGGAAACUGUCGAGCUAGAGUCCGGAAGAGGCGAGUGGAAUUCCUGGUGUAGCGGUGAAAUGCGCAGAUAUCAGGAGGAACACCAAUGGCGAAGGCAGCUCGCUGGGACGGUACUGACGCUGAGACGCGAAAGCGUGGGGAGCAAACAGG